AUGUUGGGCAAAUCAAUUACAACUUCUUCUUUUAGAAAGAAGGCGGGCACUUCAGAAAACACUCUUCCAGGCCUACUAUGUGUCAGACAGCAAGCAGAAUACAAGAAGACAAAGAUGAAGUGCCCAGAUAAACAGAGAGUAUCAAACAACGUAACUACCACCCCUCUGGUGUGGGAUCCUUAACUCAACAGGCCUAUGGUAAUACCACUCAAGGUACAGUAAAGAGCAGAGAUUCAAUAUCACCACUCCUGGACCUUGUUAGGCUAAGUGGACAGUUGCUGUCAGCAGCAUUUUGCAGGAGACCCAAAGCCUUGCCUGUGAGGCCGCCUUCCCUCCCACUCUACCAUCCACAGAAGGUUCAAGUGCACUGAGUUUCACUCAGGAGAACACCUUCCUAAGGAGUCUCAGGUAUGUGAAGGUGGGAUAGAGUAGAGCAUUCCACGAAUAGGCUGGGACUUUUCUAGAAAUCUUCGGAAGCUAGACAAGCAAAGACAUCCCAAUAUAGGAGCACAAGCAAGGGUUCAAAUCAUUCCAGUCUGGAUCUUCCCAACUCUGCUGCAGAGACGAGUCUAAUUUUUUUUUCCUAAAAGCCACUUUCUUCUUCUCGCUUCCUUUGGAAUUUCCAUAUGUUAGCAUUAAUUCAUUUAUUCUUUGAGAGGAAGGAAAAAUUGGGAAUUCUGAAUAGAAGCUGAAAUCUUCUCAGCAUUUGCUUUCCCACUUGCAGAAGGUAAAGUUAGACCUCGGAAAAAGUUGAGCUUUCUUCUCUUCACUCCCCUUUUUAGAGUAUGAGGAAAAAUUCCUCCCAUUCUCCUGACUGUAAGAGAUGGCUAAUAACAGUCCUAUCUCAUGAAGGGUGAUGUGAGGACGGAGAUAAUGUAUGUAAAGCACUCAAAAGGUGCCCAGUAUCCAAAAAGCUUUUAGUAAGUGCUCACUAAGAGGUGGAUGAUGAUGAAGAUGGUGUUGAUAGUGAAGAUGAUGCUGAUGAUGGAGAUGGUGACGAUUCCCCAUUUUUUCUAACCUUACUUUUUCAUUGAAUUCUCAAG
rnacentral:lncRNA from 1 species